CGUAGGGUGCGAGCGUUAAUCGGAAUUACUGGGCGUAAAGCGUGCGCAGGCGGUUUGUAAGACAGAUGUGAAAUCCCCGGGCUCAACCUGGGACCUGCAUUGUGACUGCAAGGCUAGAGUACGGUAGAGGGGGAUGGAAUUCCGCGUGUAGCAGUGAAAUGCGUAGAUAUGCGGAGGAACACCGAUGGCGAAGGCAAUCCCCUGGACCUGUACUGACGCUCAUGCACGAAAGCGUGGGGAGCAAACAGGAUUAGAUACCCUGGUAGUCCACGCCCUAAACGAUGUCAACUGGUUGUUGGGUCUUUACUGACUCAGUAACGAAGCUAACGCGUGAAGUUGACCGCCUGGGGAGUACGGCCGCAAGGUUG
rnacentral:rRNA from 1 species